rnacentral:rRNA from 1 species
UACGGAGGGAGCUAGCGUUGUUCGGAAUUACUGGGCGUAAAGCGCACGUAGGCGGCUUUGUAAGUUAGAGGUGAAAGCCCGGGGCUCAACUCCGGAACUGCCUUUAAGACUGCAUCGCUAGAAUCCGGGAGAGGUGAGUGGAAUUCCGAGUGUAGAGGUGAAAUUCGUAGAUAUCGAGAGGAACACCUGAGGUGAAGACGGGUUGCUGGGCCGACACUGACGCUGACAGCGCGAAAGCCAGGGGAGCAAACGGG